UAGGGAAUAUUAGUAAUGGGCGAAAGCCUGAACUAGCAACGCCGCGUGUGCGAAGAAGGCCUUCGGGUUGUAAAGCACUUUUAGAGAGGAUGAGGAAGGACGGUACUCUCAGAAUAAGUCUCGGCUAACUACGUGCCAGCAGCCGCGGUAACACGUAGGAGGCGAACGUUAUCCGGAUUUACUGGGCGUAAAGCGCGUGUAGGUGGUUUGGUAAGUAGGGCGUGAAAGCUCCCGGCUCAACUGGGAGAGGCCGUUCUAAACUGCCAAGCUAGAGGAUGGUAGAGGGAGGUGGAAUUCCGGGUGUAGCGGUGGAAUGCGCAGAUAUCCGGAGGAACACCAGUGGCGAAGGCGGCCUCCUGGGCCACUCCUGACACUCAGACGCGAAAGCUAGGGUAGCAAA
rnacentral:rRNA from 1 species